ensembl:lncRNA
CUUGUCUCUCUAUCUCUAUUUCUCUCUCUCUCCUCUCCUUCCCUCCCUUCCUCUUUUCCUCCCUCCCUCCCCAAGUCUCCCCCACCUCUUCCUUCACCCUGACCCUCAGGGACCCCUACCCUGGGACCAUAGGCCCUGGAGCGUACUCGGGCCUUUCCUGCUGGCAGAGAACCCACCCGGGCAGCACCCAGGGCCCUGGUGAGACGCAGGGAAGCCAGCCUGGGUGAGGAGCUGUGGAGGGGCAGAUAGGAGGCUGAGAGGGGCCUAGGAAGAGGAGCCCUGAGUGAGUCCCAGCAGCAAGGCUGGGCCUGGGCACAGAGAGCAGCUGUGUGAGUCCCACAGUGCAGCCCUCAUCGCGGGCCUGCCCAGGCCGACCUUGGAAAGACGCUGCCCUGAGCCCCACCUGAGACCUCAGUCCUAUGUGACCCUGGAGGGCAGAACAGAGGAGCAAGCGCUUUUCCAGGCAGGGCCGAGGGAUGCAGGGCUCCAGAGAAUCAGCGCGGAGGCCCUUCCCACCAGAGACAAACCCCGCCAGGCUGCUGUGCUGGACCCCCAACAUGACUGUGCCAGACACCAGAGGCAUCCUGGCCACAGGCAAGGCCCCAACGGACCUCCCAAGGCCCAUAAGCAAAGCUAAGGGUUCUAUGAGCAGCUUUCCCUGGAGCCACGCAGAGUCCUCCCCAUCCAGGUUCCAAACGGCUCUCCCACCGCUGGCUUCCUGGACCUCCACCUCAGCUCAGCCUGGGCAGUCCUGCUGCUCCUCUCCCGAAGAGAAGAUGGGGGCCCACAGAGACCGCCGGCGAGAUCCCCUGGUCCUGUGCUGUGUGUGGCUCCCACUCACCACCUUGUGCGCUUCCCUGCCCUUGAGUCCUGGAGACACAAAUACAUGCAGCUAAUCACCUCUUUUUAGUCACUCGUUCACUUGACAAUAGUGCAUCGAUACAUACUUAUGGAGCAUUUGUUUGACGCAUUCGGUCUUCUACCAUGGCAGGACCUGGGGAACGCUGUAAACGUGACUUUGUCCUGGACCUCAAGGACCUUCCGGCCUCCCGAGAGCUUCAGCAGGUGUAUUCACCAGUUUUCCUCACUCUUACAAAACACCCAAUGCAGGCCAUUCAUGCAGAAAGAGGUUUAUGCCACUCAGUUUGGGAGCUUCAAAGCCGUGGUACCUCCAUUGGCUGAUACAGUAUAAAAAGUUGAGUGAAAGUUUGGGUUGCAGUUAAGGGGAAGGGGAAGGAUAGGAGGGAAAAUAAAACAUGUUACUGCAUGCGUGAAUGUGAUGAAACAAACUCAUUAUUCUGUAUCAUUAAAAUGCACUUGUAAAUUUUUUAAUUUGUGGGUGGAGUUUGAGAGUCCAUGCUGCAAAUAUAAAGAACCGAGCCCUGGAAUCUGUGCGUUGUGCUUCUCAGUAAAGAUGAGGGGCUGUUUGGGCAGUGGUGAGUGGUGAUUUUGGUGAUCCAAACUGGGGACACAGGGCGGUGCCCCUGAGCCUCAGCGGGCAGCUGUUAAGCGUUUGCAGCACACUGCUGGACCCUGC